rnacentral:rRNA from 1 species
AAUAGAUACCCCGGUAGUCCACGCCGUAAACGAUGAGUGCUAAGUGUUAGAGGGUUUCCGCCCGUUUAGUGCUGCAGCUAACGCAUUAAGCACUCCGCCUGGGGAGUACGGCCGCAAGGCUGAAACUCAAAGGAAUUGACGGGGGCCCGCACAAGCGGUGGAGCAUGUGGUUUAAUUCGAAGCAACGCGAAGAACCUUACCAGGUCUUGACAUCCUCUGCCAACCCUAGAGAUAGGGCGUUCCCCUUCGGGGGACAGAGUGACGGGUGGUGCAUGGUUGUCGUCAGCUCGUGUCGUGAGAUGUUGGGUUAAGUCCCGCAACGAGCGCAACCCUUGAUCUUAGUUGCCAGCAUUCAGUUGGGCACUCUAAGGUGACUGCCGGUGACAAACCGGAGGAAGGUGGGGAUGACGUCAAAUCAUCAUGCCCCUUAUGACCUGGGCUACACACGUGCUACAAUGGAUGGUACAAAGAGCUGCGAACCCGCGAGGGUAAGCGAAUCUCAUAAAGCCAUUCUCAGUUCGGA